CCCUUAGAUGUUCUGGGCCGCACGCGUGCUACACUGAGUGGAUCAGCGGGUCAGGUUGCGCGAAAGUGUUUCCUAAUCUUGAAAUCCGCUCGUGAUGGGGAUUGACGGUUGCAAUUUUCCGUCAUGAACGAGGAAUACCUUGUAAGCGCGGGUCAUCAUCCCGCGCUGAAUACGUCCCUGCCCUUUGUACACACCGCCCGUCGCUCCUACCGAUUGAGUGGUCCGGUGAGGCUUUGGGAUCUGAGCGGAAAGAGCGUUUCGCUGUUUCUGCUCGGAAAACUCAGUCGAACCUUAUCAUUUAGAGGAAGGAGCAGUCGUAACA
rnacentral:rRNA from 1 species